GAUGAACGCUAGCGACAGGCUUAACACAUGCAAGUCGAGGGGCAGCAAUUUGUAGCAAUACAAAGUUGGCGACCGGCGCACGGGUGAGUAACGCGUAUGCAACCUGCCCGCAACAGAGGGAUAAUUCGGCGAAAGUCGGUCUAAUACCUCAUAAUACAGGGACACCGCAUGGUGAUAUUUGUUAAAGAUUUAUUGGUUGUGGAUGGGCAUGCGUGCCAUUAGGUAGUUGGUGAGGUAACGGCUCACCAAGCCUACGAUGGCUAGGGGUUCUGAGAGGAAAAUCCCCCACACUGGUACUGAGACACGGACCAGACUCCUACGGGAGGCAGCAGUGAGGAAUAUUGGUCAAUGGGCGAAAGCCUGAACCAGCCAAGUCGCGUGAAGGACGACGGCCCUAUGGGUUGUAAACUUCUUUUGCAGGGGAAUAAAGAUAUUCACGAGUGGGUAGUUGUAUGUACCCUGCGAAUAAGCAUCGGCUAACUCCGUGCCAGCAGCCGCGGUAAUACGGAGGAUGCGAGCGUUAUCCGGAUUUAUUGGGUUUAAAGGGUGCGUAGGUGGACUAUUAAGUCAGUGGUGAAAGUUUGUCGCUCAACGAUAAAAUUGCCGUUGAAACUGGUAGUCUUGAGUAUGGAUGAAGUAGGCGGAAUGCGUGGUGUAGCGGUGAAAUGCAUAGAGAUCACGCAGAACUCCGAUUGCGAAGGCAGCUUACUAAGGCAUAACUGACACUGAAGCACGAAAGCGUGGGUAUCAAACAGG
rnacentral:rRNA from 1 species